rnacentral:ncRNA from 1 species
GCAUUAUAUGAAAUGGGAAAAAAUAGCACUCCACUUGAUAAGAAUGGAAGAGGUCUUAGUGACCUUUACAGCACAUAUAUGGCAUCACCACCUACUCUGUGAUGUCUAAUCAUGUUUUUUA